UGAAACUCUAUGUAACUAAUCAAGGAUGGC
rnacentral:piRNA from 1 species